rnacentral:rRNA from 1 species
UUGGACCUGAUAUCAGCAGAUGCAGCUCC